rnacentral:rRNA from 1 species
AGUGAACGCUGGCGGUAGGCCUAACACAUGCAAGUCGAACGGCAGCACAGUAAGAGCUUGCCCUUACGGGUGGCGAGUGGCGGACGGGUGAGGAAUACAUCGGAAUCUACUUUUUCGUGGGGGAUAACGUAGGGAAACUUACGCUAAUACCGCAUACGACCUACGGGUGAAAGCAGGGGAUCUUCGGACCUUGCGCGAUUGAAUGAGCCGAUGUCGGAUUAGCUAGUUGGCGGGGUAAAGGCCCACCAAGGCGACGAUCCGUAGCUGGUCUGAGAGGAUGAUCAGCCACACUGGAACUGAGACACGGUCCAGACUCCUACGGGAGGCAGCAGUGGGGAAUAUUGGACAAUGGGCGCAAGCCUGAUCCAGCCAUACCGCGUGGGUGAAGAAGGCCUUCGGGUUGUAAAGCCCUUUUGUUGGGAAAGAAAAGCAGCAGGUUAAUACCCCGCUGUUCUGACGGUACCCAAAGAAUAAGCACCGGCUAACUUCG